GAUGAACGCUAGCUGCAGGCUUAACACAUGCAAGUCGAGGGACCGGCGCACGGGUGAGUAACAAGUAUCCAACCUGACCUUUACUGUGGGAUAGAGUUUCGAAAGAAAGGUUAAUACCCGAUAUAAAGGAUGGGGAUGCGGUCCCUUAGGUUGUUUGUGAGGUAACGGCCCACCAAGCCUUCGAUGGAUAGGGGUUCUGAGAGGAAGGUCCCCCACAGUUGAACUGAGACACGAUCCAAACUCCUACGGGAGGCAGCAGUGAGGAAUAUUGGUCAAUGGGCGCUAGCCUGAACCAGCCAAGUAGCGUGAAGGAUGAAGGCUUAUGGGGCGUAAACUUCUUUUAUAUAAGAAUAUGUAUUAUAUGAAUAAGGAUCGGCUAACUCCGUGCCAGCCGCCGCGGUAAUAC
rnacentral:rRNA from 1 species